rnacentral:rRNA from 1 species
UAGGGAAUCUUCGGCAAUGGGGGGCAACCCUGACCGAGCAACGCCGCGUGAGUGAAGAAGGUUUUCGGAUCGUAAAGCUCUGUUGUAAGUCAAGAACGGGUGUGAGAGUGGAAAGUUCACACUGUGACGGUAGCUUACCAGAAAGGGACGGCUAACUACGUGCCAGCAGCCGCGGUAAUACGUAGGUCCCGAGCGUUGUCCGGAUUUAUUGGGCGUAAAGCGAGCGCAGGCGGUUUGAUAAGUCUGAAGUUAAAGGCUGUGGCUCAACCAUAGUUCG